AAUCAUGUGGUGGGGGCAUGCAUCCAGAAGGUUCUUGAAGCGCUCCCAAUAGUCAUAAAGAGUUUCUGAAUUGUCUUGAAUAAUGCAGGAAAUUUCUUUCCUCAGUCU